rnacentral:rRNA from 1 species
UACGGAGGAUGCAAGCGUUAUCCGGAAUGAUUGGGCGUAAAGCGUCCGCAGGUGGCUAUGUAAGUCUGCUGUUAAAGAGCAAGGCUCAACCUUGUAAAGGCAGUGGAAACUACAUGGCUAGAGUGCGUUCGGGGCAGAGGGAAUUCCUGGUGUAGCGGUGAAAUGCGUAGAGAUCAGGAAGAACACCGGUGGUGAAGGCGCUCUGCUAGGCCGCAACUGACACUGAGGGACGAAAGCUAGGGGAGCGAAUGGG